rnacentral:rRNA from 1 species
CCUACGGGAGGCAGCAGUGAGGAAUAUUGGUCAAUGGGCGGAAGCCUGAACCAGCCAAGUCGCGUGAGGGAAUAAGGCCCUACGGGUCGUAAACCUCUUUUGUCGGGGAGCAAGGGCCGGGACGCGUCCCGGCCCGGAGAGUACUCGGAGAAAAAGCAUCGGCUAACUCCGUCCCAGCAGCCGCGGUAAUACGGAGGACGCGAGCGUUACCCGGAUUUUUUGGGUUUAAAGGGUGCGUAGGCGGGCUUUUAAGUCAGCGGUAAAAAUUCGGGGCUCAACCCCGUCCGGCCGUUGAAACUGGGAGCCGUGAGUGGGCGAGAAGAAGGCGGAAUGCGUGGUGUAGCGGUGAAAUGCAUAGAUAUCACGCAGAACCCCGAUUGCGAAGGCAGCCUUCCGGCGCCAUACUGACGCUGAGGCACGAAAGUGCGGGGAUCGAACAGGAUUAGAUACCCUUGUAGUC